rnacentral:miRNA from 1 species
ACCCGGGGAGUUGAUUGUGUGAAAGGAGCAGGACUCCUGACAGCCGUUCUCUGAUCAG